UACGAAGGGGGCUAGCGUUGCUCGGAAUCACUGGGCGUAAAGGGCGCGUAGGCGGCGUUUUAAGUCGGGGGUGAAAGCCUGUGGCUCAACCACAGAAUGGCCUCGAUACUGGGACGCUUGAGUAUGGUAGAGGUUGGUGGAACUGCGAGUGUAGAGGUGAAAUUCGUAGAUAUUCGCAAGAACACCGGUGGCGAAGGCGGCCAACUGGACCAUUACUGACGCUGAGAAGCGAAAGCAUGGGGAGCGAACAGG
rnacentral:rRNA from 1 species